rnacentral:rRNA from 1 species
UACGAAGGGGGCUAGCGUUGCUCGGAAUAACUGGGCGUAAAGCGCACGUAGGCGGUCUUUUAAGUCGGGGGUGAAAUCCUGGAGCUCAACUCCAGAACUGCCUUCGAUACUGGAAGACUUGAGUCCGGGAGAGGUGAGUGGAACUGCGAGUGUAGAGGUGAAAUUCGUAGAUAUUCGCAAGAACACCAGUGGCGAAGGCGACUGACUGGACAAGUAUUGACGCUGAGGUGCGAAAGCGUGGGGAGCAAACAGG